AUAGAGAUGAUUGAAUUCUCAAGUCCCGUCAAUUGCUUUGCCAUGUUUUGUAAGAGAAAAUGUAUGUGUUGAUUACUACUGUGUUUUUGGUUAGUUGUUGAACCUGGCAAUGUGUGUGUAUUACUUGACACUGUACAUUUGAUGCUUCAUGGUGUUCCAAUACGGCCCCAUCUAGCUAAGCUUGUUGGUAGUAUUGGACAAAAGCAAUAGAUAUUUCGACUUUGACAAAUUAGGAUAUGUCUGUUUCAAGCGUGUUGUGCUUAUGUUUAAUUUACUCUUGUGCGUGAGGUUUUCUCAUUGUCCCUAGCUCUGUACAUUGUUCCUGUUGUUUAGUAAAGCUUUAUAAUGAUGCAUUGGGUUUAGAACCACAACCACAAUCUCUUCCUAUUUUUUAUCAUCUUGUUUAGAACCACAACCUACGAUCUCUUCCUAUUUUUUAUCAUCUUCUUGUUUAGUACCACAACAGAUAAGCAUCACUUGAGACUCCUUCUCUAAACAAGUAAGCAUCAUGGGCAGUGGGUAUGAGGAGGACAUUGGAAAAAUGAUAUUUGGGGUGGUGAUUUCCCCAAAUGCUGCUUGGUUAGAUGAUAUAUCUCCUGAUAAUGCAGUGUGUUUUCAUUUUUGUGAGUUUGACCUUUUUUAGAAAGAUUUUCAAUUGCAGGCCUGUCUCUUAUGGAUGGAUGGUCACAUGGGAGUAAUCAGUUGACUAACUAUGAAGAUUGCUAGGAUUGACAAAAACGCAAAAAUGAUCCAGUCGGUGGAACUAUUAUAAAACUCCUGAAGGAGGUAACCCUUUACAAAAGGGUGCAAGUGUUACUGUCUCCUGCUAUAUUUGACAGUAAAAAAACCAGUCAACAAGUAGUCAAGUAUUCUUGAUUGAAAGUCUGCAAGUAAUCAAGUGGUCUUACGGAAGGCCAUUCUAGAAGAUCUUUGCUUGUUGUAGCUAUACAAUUUACCUCAAUUUUUUGCCAGUUGCUAGCACCGUAUUUUAAUCUUUGUGGCUUUGGCGAGGAUUUUUCUGUCCGCUCUUUUUCUUGUACCAAAUUAACUCCUUUGACUCUAAUGCAAUUAAGCUUUGUUAUAAUAAUAUGUUGAGAGCAGGCUAGCAUUGCUUUUAUGCAGUUGGGCAUAAAUUGCAAACAACAAAUAGAAAGGGGCGCCUUUCACCUGCCACUGCCCCAACUAAAACUUAGGCG
rnacentral:lncRNA from 1 species